AUUGAACGCUGGCGGCAGGCCUAACACAUGCAAGUCGAGCGGCAGCGACAGUAACAAUCCUUCGGGUGCGUUAUUGGGCGGCGAGCGGCGGACGGGUGAGUAAUGCCUGGGAAUAUGCCUUAGUGUGGGGGGAUAACAUUGGAAACGACUGCUAAUACCGCAUAAUGUCUUCGGACCAAAGUGGGGGGACCUUCGGGCCUCACGCCAUAAGAUCAGCCCAAGUGGGAUUAGCUAGUUGGUAAGGUAAUGGCUUACCAAGGCGACGAUCCCUAGCUGGUUUGAGAGGAUGAUCAGCCACACUGGGACUGAGACACGGCCCAG
rnacentral:rRNA from 1 species